UGGGGAAUAUUGCACAAUGGGCGCAAGCCUGAUGCAGCAACGCCGCGUGAACGAUGAAGGUCUUCGGAUCGUAAAGUUCUGUUGCAGGGGAAGAUAAUGACGGUACCCUGUGAGGAAGCCCCGGCUAACUACGUGCCAGCAGCCGCGGUAAUACGGAAGGUCCAGGCGUUAUCCGGAUUUAUUGGGUUUAAAGGGAGCGUAGGCUGUUUGUUAAGCGUGUUGUGAAAUGUAGGAGCUCAACUUUUAGAUUGCAGCGCGAACUGGCAGACUUGAGUGCGCACAACGUAGGCGGAAUUCAUGGUGUAGCGGUGAAAUGCUUAGAUAUCAUGACGAACUCCGAUUGCGAAGGCAGCUUACGGGAGCGCAACUGACGCUAAAGCUCGAAGGUGCGGGUAUCGAACAGG
rnacentral:rRNA from 1 species